GUGACUCUGUCUCAAAAGAAAAAGUGUAGGGUACUGAAGAAAUUGAAACAUUAAGAAUACCAUAUGAGUAAAUUAAACACUUUGGCUCUUUUCGGAAAAAAACAGAUGAGCUCUUAUAUUUUAAAGUUUGGUUUUGACAGAAAAAAAUUCCUAGAUUUUUUGGUUAAUAAAAACUUUAUUAGAUAGAUUAAAUUGUGAUGUAUGGAGAUAAAGUUCUGAAAGAAGAAUAGAAAGCUUUUUAAAAAUAGUAUUCUCAGCCUAGGCAACAUGGUGAAACCCUGUCUAUGCUGAGGUUGAGGUGGGAGGAUCACUUGAGCCCAUGAGGCAGAGGUUGCAGUGAGCCGAGAUUGUGCCUCUGUACUCCAGCCUGGGUGACAGAGCAAGACCCUUUCUCAGACAAUAAAUAAAUAAACAAAUAAAUAAAUACACACAGAUAGUGUUCUGCUGUAACAGUUGGACAGAUUCAAUAAAACAGUGUUAACUUUUGAACUAAUUUUAUUGAAACUAAGUUUCUGUACAAAUAGGUACUCAAAACAGCUCAAUUUUCUAAAUCACAGUACAGCAAUUUAUUUUUUUUCCUUACAUAUCCAGAAGAAAAUUCAGAUGAAUUAUCUGGUGAACGACAAAGAAAACGCCACAAAUCUGAUAGUAUUUCCCUUUCCUUUGAUGAAAGCCUGGCUCUGUGUGUAAUAAGGGAGAUAUGUUGUGAAAGAAGCAGUAGCAGUGAAUCUACAGGGACGCCAUCGAAUCCGGUAAUGUUCUCAUUUUAAGUAAGGCAAGACUCUUACUGUUCAAAGUCUAGUCCUGGCAGUCCUAAUAAGGAUACGGAUAGAAUGUACAUGUGUCUUACGAGAUUGAUAGAAAACACAGUGCUAAAUUUUACUUUAAAAUAAAACUACUAUAUUGAUCUCCACCUUCAACCCAAGGUAUUGUGAGAAAUGUGGAAAAUAGUGGAGUAACACCGGUAUUGGUAAAAUUAGUAGUAGUAUUAGUAAUUAUCAAUGUCACUGUAUGUAUUAGAGAAUAUUUGUGGACCACUGCACCAAUAGUACAGUCAAAUAAAUUGGAGUAUAGAGUUGUUUGA
rnacentral:lncRNA from 1 species